rnacentral:tRNA from 1 species
GCCUUCGUGGUGCAGUGGUCAGCACGCUGGGCGCGUAUUCCAGAAGUCAGGGGUUCGAGUCCCGGCGAAGGCG